rnacentral:lncRNA from 1 species
GGUAGUCCACCAAAGGGGGACAUCUUGAAGAGAAGCAGCUMGACCUAGUGAUCCAGUUGUUGAUUUUGGUCAUCACCUGUGAGGCCAGCAUCCAAGCAUAAGAGGAAUCUAGGAGCUGUAUCAAAAAGAGAUGGAACCAAUGAUAGCAAAUGCUGACAAAGAGACAAGCUGGACAAGCAGUUUUUUGGUGAUUAAUACCGAAGGGACGGGAUGAAACAAGGAAGUAAAAAUGCAGUUUAGCGGACCCUUGAUCUCACCAGAAACUGCUGCAGCAGGAGGUGCUGUGGCAUGGGUAACUAAGCAGACCGGGGUGGAACUUACUGGAAAGGAGUCAGGAACGGAACAAGGAACGUGACGCUGCUUUCACUGGACUGGAAGAAGUGGCUGUAAAAUCUGCUGCCCUCAAAUUCCCAGGACAAGGCAAGCCUUUUUCAGUAAUGCUUUCCACAUCUGCUGAGUCCAUGGGAGCAGCACCGUUAGAAAACAGCGGUAAGGGAAAGUGGGUGCCAGCAGCAGCAUCCUUGCAUCCCCUUUGGGGCCAGAACACAAAUUCUCCUUCUGUGAGAAAGACUGUUUAGCAGCAGUCUGGGCUGUAACUGUCUUUGAGACUUUUCCCUUUGAGAGCACAGAGGCAAUCCAAUCUGCUCAAUUCCCUCUGUAGUAGCUAAUGUCAGGGAAGCA